CACGUAGGCACCCAAGCGUUUGUCCGGAUUUAUUGGGCGUAAAGAGCUCGUAGGCGGUUCGGUAAGUCGGGUGUGAAAACUCUGGGCUCAACCCAGAGCCGCCACCCGAUACUGCUGUGACUCGAGUGCGGUAGGGGAGCGGGGAAUUCCUGGUGUAGCGGUGAAAUGCGCAGAUAUCAAGAGGAACACCAGUGGCGAAGGCGCCGCUCUGGGCCGUGACUGACGCUGAGGGAGCGAAAAGCGUGGGUAGCAAACAGGG
rnacentral:rRNA from 1 species